AGGUGAGGAAGGAGAUCGGCUGCUGCCGGCACCACCAGUCGCGACGAGCAGCCACAACGAUGGUCGGAGUUGCAGCUGAUCGACGGCAGCGAGGAACGGCGGUUGCAGUUGCGGUGGUGGCGGAGGCAGCGAGGAAUGGCGGUUGCAGUUGCGGUGGCGGCGGAGGCAGCGGAUCGACGGCGGAGGAAUGGCGGUUGUCUUCGUCUCUCUUCGCCCCUCCAUCUUUCUCGUCUCCCUCCUCUUUUUCCCGGCGAGCAACGACGAGAAGCUUCGCAGUAGUCCGGCGAGCUCAUUCCGGCGAAGAGAGGCAGUGAGCAGUGGCGGCAGUCCGAUGGUAGCUGAGGUCUUCUCCGGUCUUCAUCUCCCCUGGCGAAGAGAGAGGCAGUGAAUGUUGGUGGUCGACGGUGAGGAAGAUGGAAAGUCCCAGGCAGAUUGGUCAAUUACAGCUUAUGUAUUUGAGUCACACAGCAGCCAUUGCAGUAAGAAACAAUAACAAUGGGAUUCCUGUCAAAAUGGAUUGAUUUGAAUUUGGAAAAGCAAGUGGAAUGGCUCCCCGUGCAAGGUGGGUGGAGGAGUAUCAUGUUGACGGUUCCCAUUUUCAUUCAAUUCCAUCAAUGUUGUAUACACACAACAGAUUUGUAUCAUUUAUUGGAUUUGCAAUACUCUACCAAUUUAAUUGACAAGGAGAGGAAGAAUUUUCAUUAUCAUUAA